rnacentral:lncRNA from 1 species
GAGAUUUUGGGUUUGACUGCUAGGCCUGAGCAUAGUGUACAUGAAUUAUCUAGUAAUUAUUGUAGGUGUCAUAAUUAUCAUGUUUUUUAGUAUUUAACGUUAAUUAAAUGAAGUUUAAUUUAAAGCAAUUUAUGUGUAAAAAAAAAACACAAAAGACAAUUAAAUACUUCCAACCUCUUAUAUAGGGUAGUGUAAAAAAUAGGGUAGUGUAAGUAUAUGUUGCAACUCAAAUCUAUGAAAUAAGUGCGUUUCUCCUAUUGACCUUGAUCAAGAUUGCAAGAAAUGUAUAACAUUUGGAGAAAGCUUCAGACUCAGAGAUGCUAGUUAUCCAGAGGACUUGAGCUGAGAGAAGGAGAGCUGGAGUUAAUGGUGGAUCCGCAGUGAGGCACAGAGGACACAGGGAACACAAGCUAAGUGCUGUGGAGCUCUGUGAUGCUGAUGUGAUGGGACGGGCCCAGUGAGCUGUGAGGAGGAGGAGUGUGGAUUGAGGUGGCUUUUGGGACAAUGGGCCUGCUCUUCUCCAAUAAAACAUGAAGGCCUCAUCGCAGCAUUCUGGCCCCACUGUACAGUCUUUGUGUUGGAGACCCACCACUAACAAGUAGAUGACACGAAAUGGGAUGCCGAUUAACAAUUUGGCCAGAAUUGGCAUAUACAUGUCAGCUUUAUAAUAAUAUAUGUAGUUAAUUUCAUGAAUGAUCAUUUAUAAAGUAUUACUUUUUAAAAAUAAAGGUUCCAAAAGAGGACUUUUAUCAAAGUGGAACCAUUUUAGGCCAUAUUCUAGUGUGAAGAACAUUUUAACAAUCUAAAGAAUCUUUCUUUAGUAUUUUGAUAGUAUUUGUUUUUCUGUGUGGGGUGUAAAUAUAGCUUAAGUAAAACUCUUAAAUAUUAAAUAUAAAAGUUUUAAAAGGGGGAGACAGAUGGGGCUCAGUGGUUAGCACUGUUGCCUCACAGCAAGAAGGUCGCUAGUUCGAGUCCCAGCUGGGUCAGUUCUGUAAGGAGUUUGCUCCGAUUUCCCCCACAAUCCAAAGACAUGACUAAUUUGGCUGUAGUUUAUGUGUGUGAAUGAGUGUGUAUGGAUGUUUCCCAGUACUGGGUUUUGGCUGGAAGGGCAUCCACUGCAAAAAACACAAGCUGGAUAAGUUGGCGGUUCAUUGCGCUGUGUUGACCUCUGAUGAACAAAAGGACCAAGCUGAAGGAAAAUGAAUGAAUGAGUUUCAAAAGCGAGUUUUUGAAUUUAAUUUAACACUAAAAAAACUUGGUGUUAAGAACAUUUAAAAUAGAAAGAAGUUCAAAACUCAUUUCUAAUAAAAAGGAAA